CGCGUAGGUGGUUAGGUAAGCGAGAUGUGAAAGCCCCGGGCUUAACCUGGGAACGGCAUUUCGAACUGUCUGACUAGAGUAUGGUAGAGGGUAGUGGAAUUUCCUGUGUAGCGGUGAGAUGCGUAGAUAUAGGAAGGAACACCAGUGGCGAAGGCGGCUACCUGGACCAAUACUGACACUGAGGUGCGAAAGCGUGGGGAGCAAACA
rnacentral:rRNA from 1 species